AUCUGUUCGUUUCAUUAAUUUUUUUGGUUCUUUCUUUUCAUUUCUUUUUUCUUUUUUUUUUUCUUUUUCUUUUUUUUUUCUUUGUAGAGAUAAGAACGUUAUCUCAAUUAUAUCUUAUUUCUUUAUUUUAAUAAAAAAUAGGUCGAUCCCAUUUCUCUAGAGAUUUCAAGAUCACCUACAUCGACGUUCCUUUCAACGUUGUCCUAUCUUAUACGAACAGCUGCACGUUUCAUUCAAGCGAAUUCUUUAGAAAAUUCGAAACCUGAAGAUAUGGAUUGUCUUGACGGCUGAGCCUGAUUGCCUCCAUAUCCUGAUCGAUGUUUCGCGUUCUACCUGGUGUCGAGGUCAAAAAAGAGUGUGACGGUGAGGGCUGACAAGCAACGUCGACGUCGACGGCAGUGACGCUCAAGGUCGACGGAAUCCUCGACACGGCAUUGUCGUUCUCGUUUCCCCCUCGGCGGCACGUGUUUGCGAUAAUGGCUGAAGGAUGUUUAUAAUAGAAGUGGGAAAAAAGAGGGAUAAAAAGAAAGGAAAUAAAAUAGCCACUUGAAUCGAAUUAUUAGUAGUCGAGUAGGAAAAAAGGCAACCCUUCCGAAGGUCGACACCCGUAUCUCUGUUGAGUGGUUGUUACAUUGGAAUUAAGUGGCGGUGCUCGUUAUGCCGAAUGAAAAAAGAAAAAUAGUGAGAAUGCGAAGGUACAUUAAGGACGUAGAUAUCUUUGUGUGUGCGUUUAUGUUUGUAUAUAUCUAUGGAUACAUAGAGAUAUACGGUAAUGAGUUUCUUUUACAAAAAUAAGCUUUACUUUAUCUCUUUCAUUCUUUCUUUAUCUUUCUUUUCAUUUUUGUACUCGGAAGAAAUUUUCUAUCACUAUGGCGAAUAAAAUCCUAUUAACGGUAAACGUAAACACGUGUUUCAAUGAUAAUCGAUCGAUCCUCUCUAUCCAACGUAUAAAAUUAUUUUGUAUAUAUACAUAUACGUAUAGAGGUUGGUAUAUACAUAUAUGUGUAUCGUAUAUUGCGCCUAUAUAUGCAUGUGUUUAUUGACUAUACUUGAUUAAAAACACAAGUUGAUCGAAGGCAUACUUUUUAAGUAUACUGAUAAAAUUGAAUUUUUAAUCAUUUAUAAUUUAUACAUACACAUAUAUAUAUAUAUAUAUGUAACUAGAUCAGUUAUAACAGUAUAUACAUAUGUAUAUAAUUACUGUACCUUAUACGGUUUUAU